CUACGGGGGGCACCAGUGGGGAAUAUUGCACAAUGGAGGAAACUCUGAUGCAGCAACGCCGCGUGGAGGAUGACACUUUUCGGAGCGUAAACUCCUUUUAUAUAGGAAGAUAAUGACGGUACUAUAUGAAUAAGCACCGGCUAACUCCGUGCCAGCAGCCGCGGUAAUACGGAGGGUGCAAGCGUUACUCGGAAUCACUGGGCGUAAAGAGCGUGUGGGGGGGUUAAUAAGUCAGAAGUGAAAUCCUAUGGCUCAACCAUAGAACUGCUUUUGAAACUGUUAACCUAGAGUGUGGGAGAGGUAGAUGGAAUUUCUGGUGUAGGGGUAAAAUCCGUAGAGAUCAGAAGGAAUACCGAUUGCGAAGGCGAUCUACUGGAACAUAACUGACGCUGAGACGCGAAAGCGUGGGGAGCAAACAGGAUUAGAUACCCCUGUAGUC
rnacentral:rRNA from 1 species